rnacentral:rRNA from 1 species
AUACGUAGGUGGCAAGCGUUAUCCGGAAUUAUUGGGCGUAAAGAGGGAGCAGGCGGCAGCAAGGGUCUGUGGUGAAAGCCUGAAGCUUAACUUCAGUAAGCCAUAGAAACCAGGCAGCUAGAGUGCAGGAGAGGAUCGUGGAAUUCCAUGUGUAGCGGUGAAAUGCGUAGAUAUAUGGAGGAACACCAGUGGCGAAGGCGACGAUCUGGCCUGCAACUGACGCUCAGUCCCGAAAGCGUGGGGAACAAAUAGGAUUAGAUACCCUAGUAGUCCACGCCGUAAACGAUGAGUGCUAAGUGUUGGAUGUCAAAGUUCAGUGCUGCAGUUAACGCAAUAAGUACUCCGCCUGAGUAGUACGUUCGCAAGAAUGAAACUCAAAUGAAUUGACGGGG